UAAAGCUUUAGAGCGGAGCACGGUCAUGCGUUGAGCGGUGUCGCCGUCAGUGGCGUAACCAAUGGCAUGAAAAAGUAACGGAUAAGCAUGAAAAAAUAAAAUAAGAAAAAAGAAUACCCAGGAUCGAAAGAGAUUGGAACCAGGGCCCUCUGCGUGGCAGUCGAGUAUUCUACCACAGAACCUCGCUGGUGCUUAAAACUCAUUUGAAAAAAAAAAGAACCCUUUACAGGCGUUAUGUCGGCCAAGGAAUCGCGUUAACCUAUGUAAUACAGCGUGGCGGAUGAGUAAAAGAACAACCUGUCAUCACACAAUGCUAAUUGCGCAACGAGUGUGUGGUUUAUUGCUUCCCACCCACUGCAAUGUGGUCAGCCAUAAUUUUUUAUCGUCAUCAGCCACAUGCAGCAUCAACAAAGUGCACACAAUACCUUACAGAUGUGUAGCGGGUAUACCUCGCUUAUCCGCAGAAAGACGAAUAAUGGCGUAGUGGGUGCUGCCCUACUUCACAAAAAUUAGGAUUUAUGGCGUAGUCGACAACUUGCGGAAAGCCAAGACUUCAGACACAGUUGGCCUUGCCUCAACACGAAACUGCGCUCAGAAUACGCAUUAGGCAGUGUCGUAAUCGUCGGUGAAUUCUUUCCAUCCAUCCACACGGCUUAGCUGUAAAAGCAGCCUGUGGGAUGAGUACUGGCACACGUGAAGAUUGUAUUUAGUUAAAUGUCAGAGAGAUAGAGUAAAAAAUAAUGCUUGCAUACGCUCAUAUCAGACGUGAACUUGAAGGUGAAUCUGAAGGGCGCUCUGUUAAAGCAGAGAUGAGGAACCCUGUCUAUUGAUGAGCCGUCCUGUGAUAAAUUAGUUCAGAGAUGUUAAACUGUCCGCUGAAAAAAAGGGGUAGCAAUAAGGGAAUCAAGGAAAUCUAAGAGUACAUUUAACAGGUAUAGAUAAUAACGUAUCAGAUGUAGAAAAAUGUAGGUUGAAGUUGAACAAGAGGCUGAAGAGCGUUGCCAGUACGAGGAACAAGAAACUAUGGUAGCGUGUUUUACCUUAUGUGUACCUGUUAGUCUUCUGUGCUUAUGUGCGUAUGUCAAGCCACACAAAACAUUUGACAUUAUUCGCGCACAUGUGAACUCAUUCUACUAACCUGAAGUCGUGCUUGAAUCUUUGUGACUCACGUACUGUUGGAUUCCGUUGCGUUUCCACAUUUGGUGUUCUACUGGAUGAUAUAAUUUGCGCUGUUUCCAUUUUUCUCUUUUCUUUGCAUUUUAUGUUUCGUUUGCUAAGUGAACCAGUAGCCGUAGCCGCCAAUAAGGCAUUAACUUCUCGUAUCCAUCAUUUCAAUAAUAAAAAAGAAGUGACAAUGUCCCGGUACUACAAAAAUCGAUCAAGUACCAAAGGGUGCUUCAAGACAUCAAACUAAGAUGGCAAACACGCAACGUUGCGGUGCUCGCAUACAUUGUCAAUUCUAUAUACUUUAACGACUCCACCAGCUGCUGGAAUUUGCUACCAUUUACUGUACAACGUCUUUUGUGCCUACCCCUGACUACCGACACACUUUAUAAGCUCUUAGAGCAAGCCCUCACAUUAUUGCGCACUUGCUUUUGUCAGUAUACAUACGAUAAUCGUUGCAAGCACCGACUAAGGCUACCAGGUGAUUUUUUUAUAUUUAUCGCAUACUCAGCAUCAUUAAAAUUUUACAGCUGCCGAAAUUAUUAGUGUUCAAAAAUGAUUCCAUGGGUUUUGCCAAGUUCACAUAAUGUGAUAUCCAUGCGAGAACUCUCUGCAGGUAAGUAAAAAACGAAGACAUCAGCAGUGUCGCGUUGAGCAUAUAACUGGAAAACACUUGUCCAGUUGCAUGAAAAAAUAUGCACGGCAUAAAACACUGUACAUAACAGUAACAAAAGGCUCAUAGCCCGCUACGUGUCGACAUUCUAACCCCAAAAGCAAAACACUCAGACGUGGUAUAGAUUCGGUCUUGUCUUAAGAAAUGCUUUAAACACAUUAUUGAACCCUUCCUACCCAAAUACCUUGAGAAAUGUGUAAAAUGUAGAUGGAUAAAAUGUAGAUGUUGUAAAUUUCUCUAUUUUGAGCAGUGUUUUUCUCUGCUUUUGAUAUGCCAUUAUGGCUUGCAAAAUGGUGUGCACAACGUCUAAAGGACUAUGGAAAGCAGUAGUGCAUGUGUUGAGAGCAAGGCCGGUGUGACGCGGUUGAUAAAUUCAUGCACAAUUCAUACAUAAUUCAUACAUAACAAUGCAUAUUACAGUGUCAUUUACGCUUACAUUAGAUAUGCAGCCAAGGCAAUGCCGCGGAAGACACAGACAAUUGUGCAAACCGGUUAUGCAUUUACACUGCCGCCUAUCUAAGUCGCAAGCAAGGAAUUCGAAGUAAGCCCAAUCCGCCAACCUGCGCGAUUAAAGGAGAAAUCUAAAUGCAUCGCAUUUUCGCAGCAAUCGCCAUCGACAAAGUAUGGAGGAAUAGAAAACGUGUCUUUAUUCACGUACCAAUGACCGGUUUUAUAUCUUUGUAGGCCGCUGUGGCCACACAGGAAACCACUGUGCAGAGCUCGUGACUCCCGGCCUGGAGUGUACAGUGGCGUUUCCAUGCAGCUGUGGAAUUCCAAGAGCACCUAUCCAAAUUCGCAAGACACUACCGAACAAGCUCUGUCGAGCGCUUGCGGAAAUGUCAAGAUACUGAAAGGCUUCACGGACAUUGUGGCUCAUAGCAGAGGCAAGAGAUGGACGAAUUUCUUCUCCAGCGAGCUUCGUCUAUUCCGAGCGAGUAUCAUAUGCCAGCGAAAUUCUUCAUCGCACGACAUCACCCAUGCCUAUGCCAUCCACGAAUGGCUCAAUCAUCAUCAUUUGACUCCUUUCUGCCAAAAACCAGUGCCGAGUGGAACCACCUUCCCCCCUCCAUCGCCUCCAUUGAGGACGUGUCAUCCUUCAAGACUGCACUAACCGAUCAUAUCUUAAGCCUCCAAUAACUGAGUAUUGUUUGAACAUGUAUUCUAAUUAAUUUGUUGUAUUAUUGUGUUCUGUUUUUUACUACAUCUUUUGUUAUAUUACCCACCCCCUCUGUAACGCCUUUAUGUGCCCUGAGGGUAAUGUAAAUAAAUAAAUAAAUAAAUAAAUAAAUAAAUAAAUAAAU